rnacentral:rRNA from 1 species
UACGGGGGGGGCAAGCGUUGUUCGGAAUUACUGGGCGUAAAGGGCUCGUAGGCGGCCAACUAAGUCAGACGUGAAAUCCCUCGGCUUAACCGGGGAACUGCGUCUGAUACUGGAUGGCUUGAGUUUGGGAGAGGGAUGCGGAAUUCCAGGUGUAGCGGUGAAAUGCGUAGAGAUCGGGAAGAACAUCGGUGGCGAAAGCGCUCUACUGGACCGCAACUGACACUCAGGGACGAAAGCUAGGGGAGCAAACAGG